rnacentral:lncRNA from 1 species
GAAGAAGAGUGGACAAAGCUACUCCAGCUCUCUCCUCUGUUCCAGCUGUUGAAGGGGAUGGAGCUCCAGAUGAAGGGCUGGGCCUGUGGGGCUGGGAUCCUGAGAGGAGAGCUCUCUGACAGAGGCAAGAGUUUCGUAGACAUCCUGGAUGCUCAGUGGGAAUGUGAGGGAGAGCUGAUCCCUUUGGACCUUUCGGCCCUUAACCCCAGAGAGUUCCUGGUCUACCAGCAUGGACUCUUUCUGAUGCACACAAUACACAAUCUAAAACUGACUCCAGUUAUUUCCCUUCAGAUAGCAGCUAGUCUCCCAAACAACAACUACUUUAACAACGCC